AGGCCGGGUGUCGUGGUACAGCUGUAAAGUGCUGUAUUGUCCCCCCGCCGCCCAGAGCAAGGGUUUCCCACAAUCUCUGUCUAACUCGGUUCUAUAGUAAGACAGGGACGCUUGGUCUCAGACAU
rnacentral:snoRNA from 1 species